rnacentral:lncRNA from 1 species
CUCUUCUUGGAUCAUGAAGGCAGCUAAGUUGGCAGUGUAGCUGGCCAGGAAAAUGACAGCAAAGAAGGCCCACACGGACACCAUGAUCUUGGACGUGGUCCCCUUUGGGUUCUGCACAGGUGAAGGUAAGAUCUUGUCUGUUGCCUGGCUCUCCAGUAGCCCCUCCACUGCAGAACGAACAUCUGCUCGCACAAUUUUACAACAUAUUAACACAAGUCUUAGGAUGUUUGCAGUGAUCCUGGCAGCAUCUGCUCAGCCAACAAAAUCAUCAGGGACUACACAUGUCG